UCUGCACAUUGUUAGAGCUUGGAGUUGAGGCUCUGGCCGAUGAACUCACAAGUGUAGGUAGUGUGCUACAGGAGGGGCAAGUCUUUCGCUAACACCACAAGGGUCUCUGGCCCAGUGAGUGGAGUUUGAUAGUAAUUCUUGCUACAAGU